CAGCUCGUCGCGGCUCGCGAGCCGAUUCUUAUUUAACCAAAAACGGUCGUUUUUGGUUAAAUAUGAAGCUUCUUUCGUUAUUUCAUUCGCUUGUGAUUUGUUUAUGUUUUCCACUGCGUGUGCGUGCAGCUGCUCUCCAGUUCCAGUUCCAGAGUACAGCCCUCCGCAAUCUGAAGUUCCGGCCUAUUUUCUCCGUCGACAUGGGUUUCUCAGGCGUUUCAGUUCAAGUCUUCUGACGUGCCAACAGAAGAUUCCAGCGAUCGGGGUUCUACGGCAAGAAGUUUGAUGACGACGGCGAUGUGGAUGACAGAAAUAUAUUUCAAGUGUUUCAAAUUGUUAUGUAUUCAAGAGUCGAUUACAGGAAUACGCUCAGAAAAUGGGACUUCAAACGCCUGUUUAUGAGACUACUAAGGAAGGCCCAUCACAUGAGCCUUCAUUCAGAUCUGCUGUGGUAGUGAAUGAUGUCAGAUAUGAAUCUUUGCCUGGUUUGUUUAAUCGUAAGGCAGCGGAGCAGUCAGCUGCUGAAGUUGCACUUAUAGAAUUAGCAAAACUUGGUCAAGUGAAUCCUUCCAUCUCCCAGCCUGUUUUUUGUAGCUCUGCAUAAAAGUGUUCCGGUUUUUGUUUUGGACUCACUGGAUUUAUUUAACAAGUUCCUGAGUUUCCAUCCAAGCUGUUCUUCUUCUGUGAAGUGGAGGUGAAACUCCGAUAGUCCUGAGCCACAUUGUCUAUGAAAGGAUGAAACACAGGCACCCUGAAUUUGUCGAAAAAUUAGAGCAGCAUGGAUUGAUUUAUACAAGGGUGCUAGGGGAGGAGGAUGAUCCUUCAUCACCUAUCGGCCGUGGUUGGAAAUCCACGUUCUUGACUGAUGACAAGAACCUGGCUG